rnacentral:rRNA from 1 species
CCUACGGGAGGCUUCAGUGGGGAAUAUUGGACAAUGGGGGGAACCCUGAUCCAGCCAUGCCGCGUGUGUGAAGAAGGCCCUCGGGUUGUAAAGCACUUUCAGUGAGGAAGAACGCCUGGUGGUUAAUACCCAUCAGGAAAGACAUCACUCACAGAAGAAGCACCGGCUAACUCCGUGCCAGCAGCCGCGGUAAUACGGAGGGUGCGAGCGUUAAUCGGAAUUACUGGGCGUAAAGCGCGCGUAGGUGGCUUGAUAAGCCGGUUGUGAAAGCCCCGGGCUCAACCUGGGAACGGCAUCCGGAACUGUCAAGCUAGAGUGCAGGAGAGGAAGGUAGAAUUCCCGGUGUAGCGGUGAAAUGCGUAGAGAUCGGGAGGAAUACCAGUGGCGAAGGCGGCCUUCUGGACUGACACUGACACUGAGGUGCGAAAGCGUGGGUAGCAAACAGGAUUAGAUACCCCAGUAGUC